rnacentral:rRNA from 1 species
AUUGAACGCUGGCGGCAUGCCUUACACAUGCAAGUCGAACGGCAGCGCGGACUUCGGUCUGGCGGCGAGUGGCGAACGGGUGAGUAAUACAUCGGAACGUGUCCUGUAGUGGGGGAUAGCCAGGCGAAAGCCGGAUUAAUACUGCUUCCGAGCUACGGAGGAAAGCGGGGGAUCUUCGGACCUCGCGCUGCAGGGGCGGUCGCUGGCAGAUUAGCUAGUUGGUGGGGUAAGGGCCUACCAAGGCGACGAUCUGUAGCUGGUCUGAGCGGACGACCAGCCACGCUGGGACGGAGACACGGCGCAGACUCCUACGGGAGGCAGGAGUGGGGAAUUGUGGACAAUGGGCGAAAGCCUGAUCCAGCCAUGCCGCGUGUGUGAAGAAGGUCUUCGGGUUGUAAAGCCCUUUAGGUCGGGAGGAAGGGCUGUAGGCUAAUACCUUGCAGUUUUGACGUUACCGAGAGAAUAAGCACCGGCUAACUUCGUGCCAGCAGCCGCCGUAAAAC